UGUUCAGCUCUGCCCUGUGCGUGUGCGUGUGCGCGUGUGCGUGUGCGUGUAUGUGUGCAUGUGCGUGUGUGU
rnacentral:pre_miRNA from 1 species